CAAGGGUGGGGCAACGUUUUCCUGAGACCACGAGGCGAUGGUCGAGCCAGAGCGCUCUCUGGGAUUUAUUCACCCCACUAGGAGUAUACCUUGGCCAGCAGCAUAUACAUAGUCGCAGAGCAGAAUGGAAAAUUUGUGCAGGAGAGGACGUGGGGGAUAGGCUAGAAAUAGCCCAGCGGCCAGAGGAGAUAUCUCUCACGCCCCACGUCUGCCGCUCUCUACUCUCACUGAUGCCGCCGCCGCCUCUGGCUCUGGCUCUGCCGAUGGUGCCUUUUGCUGACUACGGCUGCUGCCUGUUGUUGUUGCUGUUGUUGCUUCGCCCUCGGCCAAAACAAAAGAGAAUGAGAGGUCCCGCUAAUUGUCCGCCUGUUGCAAUUUUCCCUUUAGCCGGGCGCUUGCUGCUGCUUGGCUGCCCUGGCGACUGCAAUUAGUGCGGCUGCCGCCUGACGUCUGAGGCUCGUCAAAUUUAAAACCUCUGCUGGUGCAUCCCUCUACCCCACCGCACCCCACCCCACCCCACACGGAGUCAGUCCCAUGUGCGUGGAGCUAUUUUGGUGUUCUGUUCCCAGAGCAUGCCGUUAAACAAUAGGCAGAAAGAGAGAGAUGAAUGGAUAGACUUUGGUGCACGCUCUCCUAUCAAUAAGAAAAUUUAAAGAUCAUUCUACUCAAUCGGAAAUCUCAUCAGUUGUGAUUGUACUAUGGAGUUCUAUGGACUAUCCAUCCCCAAAACGCAGCGAGAAGGGAAAUACGACAUGAAACGAGACAAAUGGCUGUAGAUAUAGAUACAUACAACCAAUGGAUCUCUCUCUCCCCCCCCCCCCCGUCCACUGUCUGAUGAGAAAAUGCAAUUACGGGAUACGAAAUGGGGCAAGAGCUCCCUACUACCAUCUUUGGAGUGACACAUCCCACAAAGCCAAAGGAUAACACUCAUCCCGGUGGGGGGAUACUUGUAGUGGGAUGUCUAGAGGGGGGCCCAUGCCCCACCACAACAUCCACUCUCGUGAUCCUUUUGGCGUUGUGGAAUCAACGCUCAAAUAUGAUUAAUAAGUAAUUUCUUUGUCAACAACUGGCUGGGGACUGGCGGCUGACGACAGUCACGAUAACGAGUGGAACGACAACGACGCCAUGGAAAUCUUUAAUAAAAAUACAUGCAUAAAUAAAUUAUGGGGUAAGCUGGGGAGGGGGAAAAACAAGGGCUACGAGCCGAAAGGAAAGUAAAGGAAAGCGAACGGGUAAUAAAACAAAGCGAUGACA